AGAUAGUUCACAACACCGUCUGUUUACAGCUUUGUGCAUUAUGCUUUGCACAAUCCGCAAGUAAGCAGGUUGUCGAUGUAAAAAAGUGAUGAAUUAACAACGAGUUUUUUGUCAAAACCGUAAUUUACAAUGUAUCUUUUUGUAACCUUUGACCUGAAUACUAGCUUUUUACUAUUUGUUUUAAACUUUUAGUGGUUCUAAAAUCUCUAUGGGAUCGGAGUAGAACAUAACAGAAACUAAAUGACAGCUAUUUUAUCGACCAGUUAUUGGAUUCAAUUUAGUUACACCUUUGACCGAGCUAGAUCAUCUGGGCUCUAGUCAGUCAUGUCCUAUACCUCGUAUUUUAUAGUUGCGACAGUAAUUGGGCCCUGUUAGAGAGGCCGAAAGGAGGAAAUAUUAAAUGGCUGAAUUAUGCGUAUAGGUUCUUUA
rnacentral:lncRNA from 1 species